CACAGACAGACACCCUGAGGUACUGGUGACUCACCGGACCGGCUCUGAUCCGAGCAGAGGCUCAGCAGGACGAGCACAGACGGAUCGAAGGUUUAACGCCACUUAAAAUGGCCAUAGUUCACUCAUCUGUGUUUACAGACGCUGCCUUCACAAAAACUCCUAAUCAACAUUCCUGCAGCGUCUGGGAACGUAAAGAGGCUGUAAAAUGAAACAAAUGAAAUGGAAAGCGCUCCCGUCGUAUUAAACCUAAGGCUGCGUAAUGGCCACUCUCCCCUUGACACGUUUUCAUUUGUUUGACAGUAAUGUUUCCGUCAGCAGCUAUUAAGAGGCCGUUAGAGAGCGAGGAGCCUCCUGAGAGCUCGCUCCACCGUGAAAUUAUUUAUCCAAAGGUGGGUAAGUAUUUAGGAAACGCUGGUUUGGGCAGAGAAGGUUCUGCAGACGCCAGCCGUGACGAGGAAGCUGUGCUUUAAUCAUGUUAGUCAGUCAGAAUGUGGGGAAUGAAUGAAGUGGAGCUCAUCACGAUUCGUUUGGCGGCGAGAAACAAUAACGUGAAGGCGUCAGUGUGCGGCUCUGGAACCCGCCUCCUCCCAUGAUGCAUUUCAUGCAAGCUGUUGAGGUUUCAGUGAAAACACACUGUUGGGCUUUGUUUUGGUGACCUCAGCACAACGCCUGUUUUUGCUCACGAAGGAGAGGAGCGUUCACUCUAUGGCUUCUGGUCACACUGGGUCACUGCUCAGGCCUGGAAUGUGUCUAAAGGUCCUGAUGAAGACAUAAACCAGACGUUCAAAACUGGGGUCUGGGCACUUAGAGCAGAUACCAGCACUUCUCCUCCGAGCUGGGACUCGAAGCAGAUCCCACCAACGUGCAGAGACGAGUCCAUCAUUCCCUCUCGCUCUGCGUCCGAGUUGUUUUGCAAAUCCUCAGAUUACAGCGAGAGCGUGGAAGCAGCAGCACGGACACAUCUGUGGGGGAUUAAAGCUCAGAGAGGACUGUCAGUGUGUUAGUGAAGCAAAGCGUCAGACCUGUGAAGCGGCGUUAAGUCGUUACUGGAGGUUUAGAACAUGAGGCGUUAGAAGCUAUUGAGCCACAGUCUGACUCCAUCUACUGGCAUAAACGAGAACUGCAGCAUGUGGGGCUCAAGACUCUUCUUCCAUUACUACUGAGGAUAGUGGUUGUUUUAUUAAACUGGGUAAAUAAGUAGGAAAAUAAUGAGGCGUGGGAACUUUACAAUGUACAAGUUUAUUUUUAAUGAACUCUUCAGUGGUUGGUAGUCACAGCACAGCUUGCAUGUAUUAAGCCACACACCUAUUUUACAAGAUGACGAAAAAAAAAAAGAAAACGAAGUCAAACCCAGGCGAGAUGGCCACAAAUCCAUCUGCAGUGACUUCAAUUCUAAAAUAUCCUUAAAAGGCCACUGAAAUGCAUAAAAUGGUUUCAGAUGCAUGAAUAUCGGAUGGUGGUGAUUUGCUUUAACCUGACAUCAAGACUCCUCACAUGGCAUCGACAGUGCAUGUAGACGUAGAAAGGACUGGGUUAGCAACACCUAGUAUAGUCUUUUUUUAUUAUUUAGUGACAACACCUUGGCUAGAAUACUACAGCUUUAAAAAAACUGGAAACAAAAUGAACAGCACUCGUCCAAGAUACUGAAUACAACCAAAGUGAAAUGUAGUGAAGCGAUUUUUGCAAAUCUCACAAUGACUUAUUUUGAGCUGGAGGAAAGAAGCAGUGAACCGCCAAGCGGCUCCUGCACCCAAAUAUUUAAAAAAAAAAACGAAGAAUUAAAACACACCUUGCCGUCCUCUGGAAUUUGUAUACUUUUAA